rnacentral:tRNA from 1 species
GGGGAUAUAGCUCAACUGGGAGAGCGCGGCGUUCGCAACGCCGAGGUUGGGGGUUCAAGUCCCCCUAUCUCCA